rnacentral:rRNA from 1 species
UAAGGAAUAUUGGACAAUGGAGGCAACUCUGAUCCAGCCAUGCCGCGUGAAGGAAUAAGGCCCUAUGGGUUGUAAACUUCUUUUAGACGGGACAAAACCCCUUUACGUGUAAAGGGUUGAUGGUACUGUCAGAAUAAGCAUCGGCUAACUUCGUGCCAGCAGCCGCGGUAAUACGAAGGAUGCAAGCGUUAUCCGGAAUUAUUGGGUUUAAAGGGUGCGUAGGCGGACUAAUAAGUCAGUGGUGAAAGCCUGCAGCUUAACUGCAGAAUUGCCAUUGAUACUGUUAGUCUUGAGUACAGUUGAGGUAGGCGGAAUGUGUCAUGUAGCGGUGAAAUGCUUAGAUAUUACACAGAACACCGAUUGCGAAGGCAGCUUGCUAAGCUGUAACUGACGCUGAGGCACGAAAGCGUGGGGAGCAAACA